rnacentral:rRNA from 1 species
AUGGCGGAUGCACCUCUGUACAAGCAGCGCCGCAGGUACACCAGGGAGCUCCACGACGUCGACCUCCACGGCAACCACAAACUCCACGUCGUUUGCACAAGCAAGGGUGAAGACGUGGACAAGAUGUUGUCCACGCUCAGGAGGAAGCUCGGCAGAAUGCCCGUCAAACUAGUCGGCGUUGAUGUCGAUUACACGCACUACGUGAAGCCAUAG